GAUGAACGCUAGCGGCAGGCCUAACACAUGCAAGUCGAGGGGUAAGAUUAGCUUGCUAAUCUGAGACCGGCGCACGGGUGCGUAACGCGUAUGCAAUCUACCUUUUACAGAGGGAUAGCCCAGAGAAAUUUGGAUUAAUACCUCAUAGUAUCUUUACCUGGCAUCAGGUGAUUAUUAAAGUUCCAACGGUAAAAGAUGAGCAUGCGUCCUAUUAGCUAGAUGGUAAGGUAACGGCUUACCAUGGCAACGAUAGGUAGGGGUCCUGAGAGGGGGAUCCCCCACACGGGUACGGAGACACGGACCAGACUCCUACGGGAGGCAGCAGUGAGGAAUAUUGGACAAUGGGCGCAAGCCUGAUCCAGCCAUGCCGCGUGCAGGAAGACGCAUCUAUGGUGUGUAAACUGCUUUUGUACGGGAAGAAACACUCCUACGUGUAGGAGCUUGACGGUACCGUAAGAAUAAGGAUCGGCUAACUCCGUGCCAGCCGCCGCCGUAAUAC
rnacentral:rRNA from 1 species